rnacentral:rRNA from 1 species
AAGAAAGUAAAUAAGGGCGCAUGGCGGAUGCCUUGGCUCUCGGAGGCGAUGAAGGACGUGAUAAGCUGCGAUAAGCUUCGGGUAGGUGCAAAUAACCUUUGAUCCGAAGAUUUCCGAAUGGGACAACCCGGCAUUCUGAAGGAAUGUCAUCCAACCAAGUUGGAGGCUAACGCAGGGAACUGAAACAUCUUAGUACCUGCAGGAAAAGAAAAUAAAUAAUGAUUCCCCUAGUAGUGGCGAGCGAACGGGGAAUAGCCCAAACCAUUCAUGUUACGGCAUGUGUGGGGUUGUAGGACCACGCUCUCGCAAGAAAGUUAUUGAGAAGAAGCGGCUGGAAAGCCGCGCCAUAGACGGUGAUAGCCCGGUAUUCUAAGGUAACUGAAGCGUAGUGGUAUCCUGAGUAGCGCGGAGCACGAGGAAUUCUGCGUGAACCAGCCGGGACCAUCCGGUAAGGCUAAAUACUCCCGAGAGACCGAUAGCGAACCAGUACUGUGAAGGAAAGGUGAAAAGCACUUCGAAUAGAAGAGUGAAAUAGUCCCUGAAACCAUGCGCCUACAAG